ACACUCCUACGGGAGGCAGCAGUGGGGAAUUUUGGACAAUGGGCGAAAGCCUGAUCCAGCCAUGCCGCGUGCAGGAUGAAGGCCUUCGGGUUGUAAACUGCUUUUGUACGGAACGAAACGGCCUUUUCUAAUAAAGAGGGCUAAUGACGGUACCGUAAGAAUAAGCACCGGCUAACUACGUGCCAGCAGCCGCGGUAAUACGUAGGGUGCAAGCGUUAAUCGGAAUUACUGGGCGUAAAGCGUGCGCAGGCGGUUAUGUAAGACAGUUGUGAAAUCCCCGGGCUCAACCUGGGAACUGCAUCUGUGACUGCAUAGCUAGAGUACGGUAGAGGGGGAUGGAAUUCCGCGUGUAGCAGUGAAAUGCGUAGAUAUGCGGAGGAACACCGAUGGCGAAGGCAAUCCCCUGGACCUGUACUGACGCUCAUGCACGAAAGCGUGGGGAGCAAACAGGAUUAGAUACCCUGGUAGUCC
rnacentral:rRNA from 1 species